rnacentral:lncRNA from 1 species
AUAUCCUAAAAGUUCAAUUCAUAUCCUAAAAGUUCAAUUCACAAGAACAAAUCCUAAAAACUAAAAUUUCAAUUCAUAUCCUACGAGUUUAAACAUAAAAUAACUAAACUAAAGAAAUUCAACCCAUACCCUAAAAGUUCGAUUCACAAUAACAAAUUAAUUUAUUCUAUAAUUAUAAAUUAAUUAUAUCUUUUUUAGUUAAUCCUAAUUACACCAAUUUAUAUUCUAAAAGUUCAAUUUAUAUCCAAAAGGUCCAAUUCAUAUCCUAAAAGUUCAAUUCAUAUCCUAAAAGUUCAAUUCAAAAGAACAAAUCCUAAAAACUAAAAUUUCAAUUCAUAUCCUACGAGUUUAAACAUAAACUAACCAAACUAAAAAAAUUCAAACUAUACCCUAAAAGUUCGAUUCACAAGAACAAAUUAAUUUAUUCUACAAUUAUAAAUUAAUUAUAUCUUUUUUAGUUAAUUCAAGAUAAUUAUUUUUUCCUAAUUACACCAAUUUAUAUCCUAAAAGUUCAAUUCAUAUCCAAAAGGU